rnacentral:rRNA from 1 species
UACGGGGGGGGCAAGCGUUGUUCGGAAUUACUGGGCGUAAAGGGCUCGUAGGUGGCCAACUAAGUCAGACGUGAAAUCCCUCAGCUUAACUGGGGAACUGCGUCUGAUACUGGAUGGCUUGAGUUUGGGAGAGGGAUGCGGAAUUCCAGGUGUAGCGGUGAAAUGCGUAGAUAUCUGGAGGAACACCGGUGGCGAAGGCGGCAUCCUAGACCAACACUGACACUGAUGAGCGAAAGCCAGGGGAGCAAACGGG